GUUGAAAUAGUGUAGAGGGAACACGUGAGACUAUAAAUCUCAAAUCCCUGGUUCAAUCCCGGGUCUCGACA